AUUAGUUUUCAGGGGCGGCUUAGCCUGAGAUGAACCCUUUAAACCUGAUCCAGAUAAUGCUGGCGGAGGAAGAAAACAUAUGAACACG
rnacentral:ncRNA from 1 species